rnacentral:lncRNA from 1 species
AUCAGAAUAGUGGUUUUGUGACAACAAAUUCAAGAUAGAGAUAAUUAUUUUAUAAUUAUUUUGAGGUUUAUGAUAUGAUUUCAUGAUUGUGUGAAAAUUUCGUGACGAAAUUCUAUGCAUAAAGUGCUUAAGUUGAAAUUAGGGACUAAAUCGAAUAAUUUGCAAAACUUGCAUUCUAGAAGUUUUUAGUAUGAAAUUGCUUUGGAAUAUUAAUGAGGAGGCCUUAAAUAGCAAUUUGACCA